UUUAUUUAUUUCUCCUCAUUUCCUCUGCAAAACCCUAAUUUUCUACAUCUCGAAAAAAUUUCUGUGAUUGUUCUGUAUUUUUUGGAAUUUUUUUCUUGUAUUUCUGAGAUUUUUUUUACUGUUUUUUUUUUUUUUUUUUUAUAAUUUUUACGAUUAUUGGAGUAAGUGAUUUGUUGGAUUUUUCCUAAACUGGAGCUUUGAGUAGUGGUCUGUAAUGGCGGAGAUUUAGGAUACUGAGAAGAAACUGAGUUGAAAUUGUUGUAUGGAAGCUCUGGUUCUUGAUCUACAAGUAAUUCUACUGGAGCUUUUGGUUUUGGGGAUUGGUGAUAGGUUUUGGAUUUCAUUUCACUUCAUUGGCCCUGUUUAUGUGUUCUUAUUUCAUCGUCUUCAUCAAUGAAACCUUCUUCGUCGGUGUGUUUGUAAAAUAUUGUAUCGGAAGUUUGUAAACCGAAGUAUGGAGGUUUAAGAAGCGGUUACGUAGUUUUGUUUUGUAACCAAUUUCUUUUCUAGGCUGUAAAAAUGGAGGAGAAAGAGGGUGUUGAUUUCGGAUUUGCAUUAAAAGUGAGCCAAGCUUCAGAUAGCUUCGGGAUGAUGGAUUCGAGACCUGAAAAUACAAGCACGGACAGCGAGCCACCUCCUCCGCCUCCGCCGCCGACGACGGCGACGGUGGAAGCAGCUCAGACGCUGGCGGGUACAGAUGGAAAGAAGAAAAGAGGGAGGCCGAGAAAGUACGGACCCGAUGGGACUGUAGUGCCAACAUUGUCGCCAAUGCCGAUUUCAUCAUCGAUUCCGUUGACGGGAGAGUUUCCGGGAUGGAAACGGGGAAGGGGGAGGUCAGUAGAAUCGCUCAAGAAGUCGCGGAAGUACGAUUAUGAGAUUCCAGGUAACAAGGUUGCCUUCUUUGCUGGAGCAGAUUUCACACCUCACGUGAUCACUGUUAAUAUUGGUGAGGAUGUUAACUUGAAAGUAAUGUCAUUUUCUCAACAAGGAUCUCGGGCCAUUUGUAUACUCUCUGCUAAUGGUAUGGUUUCAAAUGUCACACUUCGGCAGUCAACAUCUUCGGGGGGUACUCUAACAUAUGAGGGUCGAUUUGAGAUACUUUCGUUAUCUGGAUCAUAUAUGCCUUCCGAGAUUGGUGGAACAAAGAGCCGAUCUGGAGGGAUGAGUGUCUCUUUAGCUUGCCCAGAUGGCCGAGUAAUGGGUGGAGGACUUUCCGGCAUGCUAAUAGCAGCUGGUCCAGUGCAGGUGGUGGUGGGCAGUUUCCAACCACCAGGCCACCAACAGGAGAAUAAACCAAAGAAGAGCAGGAUGGAACCUACAUCAAAUGCAAUUUCACCUCCUCCCGCCAUUAAGCCCAUAGGAGAUAAAGCAGAUUCUUUAGACCCAAAUCCAGCUUUUAGAACUUCACCAGUCGACGAAAAACCACCUUCUCCAGAAGAAUCAAGAGUUGUCCUCAACCAUUCAAACCAUGAGCGGUAUGAGCUCAUUGAUUCUGUGAAGGUAUGAGCUCAUUGAUUCUGUGAAGGUAUGAGCUCAUUGAUUCUGUGGAGGGCUAACUAAGAGUGUUUAAACAACUGACGUAUCUGUCGUCAACAGAACUGGAGAAGACUGGUCUUGAGGUGAAGAGAACGAUGAGAAUGAUCAAAUUGAAGAUGCAGAAGAUGAACAGAGUGCUGGAAGCCGCCUCGGCAGCUAGUUCCAAAAUGGAAUCAGCCAUGGCUCCACUGAAAAUUUUGGUUAAAACUUAGAACUGAAGAGAGAAUUGGAUCAAGAGAGAAAGAUGGAAGGGAAAUGAAGCUUGUUUGUUGGUAUUUAAAGGGUUUGGUAAUGUGGGAAGUGUAACGAGGAAGCUUUUUGUUAUGGAAGCAGACCAAUUAUGUGUUGUGUAAGGAAGUUGAAUGGCUUUUUUUAAAGUCAA